UUUGAAUGACGUUUGAAAACUAAAUCUGUUUAAGUAAAUAUGCUAAAUGCUUUUAAGUGUAAAGCUGAGAUGAGCUUAGAGGUUGUUUGGUUGAUGACGUCAUUGUGUGGCUGAAGCAUCACAACAGGCUGCCUGGUUUAGCAAAGAGGAGUUUUUGUCUAAUUAUUCUGUUUUAUUAUGGCUCAAAAUAUUUUAGCUCUUGAUGUGU